CGUUGCAUGGCUCCCUGGGAUAUCUUGUCCCAGUGAGGUGGAUCGGCCUUGCACUUCUCGAAGAACUCAACAAGGAGUUCAGCAGCCUGAUCACCAUGGUAAGGAUCAAUGUUGAAGCCGGAUUUUCCAUGCACAAUAAUCUCAGCAGGUCCACCAUUGCAAGUAGCGAACGUUGGUAAACCACAGGUCAUGGCCUCAACAACAGUCAGACCAAAAGCUUCGUAUAGAGCUGGCUGCACGAAAACACCCUUGGUGUCGCAAAUGCAACGGUAGAGCUCUCCAUUCCUCACUCGGUUCAUCUGGGAAGAAAUCCAUCUGAACUGGCCAUUCAGAUU
rnacentral:lncRNA from 1 species